UGAGGAAUAUUGGACAAUGGGCGCAAGCCUGAUCCAGCCAUGCCGCGUGCAGGAUGACGGUCCUAUGGAUUGUAAACUGCUUUUGUACAGGAAGAAACAGUUCUACGUGUAGAACCUUGACGGUACUGUAAGAAUAAGGAUCGGCUAACUCCGUGCCAGCAGCCGCGGUAAUACGGAGGAUCCAAGCGUUAUCCGGAAUCAUUGGGUUUAAAGGGUCCGUAGGCGGUUAGAUAAGUCAGUGGUGAAAGCCCAUCGCUCAACGGUGGAACGGCCAUUGAUACUGUCUGACUUGAAUUAUUAGGAAGUAACUAGAAUAUGUAGUGUAGCGGUGAAAUGCUUAGAGAUUACAUGGAAUACCAAUUGCGAAGGCAGGUUACUACUAAUGGAUUGACGCUGAUGGACGAAAGCGUGGGUAGCGAACAGGAUUAGAUACCCGAGUAGUCCCUGAGCGGGCUGGCAAGGCGCAU
rnacentral:rRNA from 1 species